AGACGUUUUGCUUAAUUUUGCAAAAUGUUCUUUUAUGAUGUCAUUUCAACUAAGAUUAUUCAGCACAGAAAAUGAAAAGAAAUAUAUUUGAUGCUCUUCUUUUAGCUCUAUAUUUUAUACUAGCUUAUAAGCUGCACUCUGUGCAGACUUUUAAGCUAGCUCCUGCGGAGGGCUAAUUGAGCCUGCGACCCAAAACUAAAGAGAGCUAAAUAGCAUGACUAUAAUACGUUUCUAAUGACUUUAUGCCCCAGUGGUGUUUGAUCAGAGGUUAAGGAUGGAGAAGAAUUAAUUCUGUAAAGCAAUCAUUCUAUUGUUCCAGUCCCAAGUUGAAUUCCAACUGUCGGUCAAUUUGUUCCAAAGUUCUUAUCUCGACGUAAAAUUAACAAAGCGGAUGUCAUUUAUCUCCCUUUUGAUCUCUGAUGUCAUCUGACAAAUGCCAAGCAAGAUGGCGUGAAUCAGCAAAGCUUUACCUGCUAGAAAUAGCAACCCAAAUACUUUUAAGUCAGAUCCCAACGCUGGAUGUUCAAGAACUAAAUGAAGGACAGAUUUUCAAUCCCGGGAUCAUGCUGAUUCCUAAAAGGAGCAAAGACUAUGUUCAUAGCACUUUAAAAGGUCUCCAAGAGUAGAAGUGGCAAGGAAGGACGUAAUUAUCCUCAAAGCAGAAGUCUGACCUGCAUGCUUGCAACAGUAGACUCUGCUAAAGUUACUCAAUGUGACAAGUGGCAGUGUUAAACCAAAAGACUUAAUCUGUAAUUCGUCUUAACCACAGCGGAAUUUGAACUCAAGCCAUGAAGCUAAACGGUUUUUCUUCUAAUUACGGCAGUAAUUUCAAUUGACUAAAGAUCUUUUUGGCUCACUUCAAAAAGUUCAUUCUCAGUUGAUUAUAAUUAAUCAUGUUGUUUUUUCAAGCCGGGCGUAUUCAUGGGAAUGUUUUCCAAUGUCAUCAAUUGCCUAUUGUCUGAGUCACAUAAUUAGUUCUAAUGAUUAUUGAUAAUUCUUGUAUUGAAAUUGUUAACAUCAAUUUAUAUUUCUUUUGAUCCCGAGAUGUUACGUGUGUCUGCAGCUUUCAGUUGGAAGUUCUAAAGUGAUAAAAAUCUUUACAAAUAUUUGGAACUGCCGAGGUUAAAACAAUUGGGUCUCUUGAGAUUUGGUAUACUUUAAGCGUCGUAAAGAAUACACUAGUAAUCUGACUAUUGAUACAAUUAUACCAUUGCCUGGCACUCACUCUUUUCUUCGUACAGGUGAAUACAACAUGUUUGAGAUCUACCCAUCUGACCACGAUGUUGUUAGUACGACUACAGUUUUCGACCUUGGAUGUAUCCCUGAAGUCUUGUGUUUGUUCUUCUGAGAGAGGUUGAUAAUAACGAGAUCGUGCUCACAGAGAAAGAAAGUAAUGCUAUUGCUGUUAAUUUUAUCAAAUCACAGCACCUGAUCACGCGGUCUCACUCUUUCAUUUUCUAUUUCUCUGUGUUCUUGCAUUAAAAUCAUUCAUUAGAAUGAUUAAGGUGAUGUUCUA